UGGGGAAUAUUGCACAAUGGGCGAAAGCCUGAUGCAGCAACGCCGCGUGAGUGAUGAAGGUCUUCGGAUUGUAAAGCUCUGUCUUUUGGGACGAUAAUGACGGUACCAAAGGAGGAAGCCACGGCUAACUACGUGCCAGCAGCCGCGGUAAUACGUAGGUGGCGAGCGUUGUCCGGAUUUACUGGGCGUAAAGGGUGCGUAGGCGGAUGCUUAAGUGAGAUGUGAAAUACCCGGGCUUAACUUGGGUGCUGCAUUUCAAACUGGAUAUCUAGAGUGCAGGAGAGGAGAAUGGAAUUCCUAGUGUAGCGGUGAAAUGCGUAGAGAUUAGGAAGAACACCAGUGGCGAAGGCGAUUCUCUGGACUGUAACUGACGCUGAGGCACGAAAACGUGGGUAGCAAACAGGAUUAGAUACCCUGGUAGUCCACGCCGUAAACGAUGAGUACUAGGUGUAGGAGGUAUCGACCCCUUCUGUGCCGCAGUAAACACAUUAAGUACUCCGCCUGGGAAGUACGAUCGCAAGAUUAAA
rnacentral:rRNA from 1 species